AUGUCAGUUUUGUCACAAAACUAAGACUGGUCUUUGGAGUUGUUUGAGGAAGGCUCCAUACCACCACUCUCUCACUUGAGUAUCUUAAGUUAUUUUCAGAUCAAAUUUUUGUAGCUUUGGCAACUGUUUUCUAAACCUGUUCGCACUGCUCCCUGUAGGCUUUACAGAGCCUCCCCACCCCUUGGCUGCAACCCUCCUAAUUUAGUGUACCCUGCGCGCACAACCCAUGUGGAAUUCCAGGUCUCUGGCAGCAUUUGGAACUGCUGACCUGCGGUUAAGAAUGCUGACUUCAUCUCCGCCUAUGCUGCCCUUCAGUCCCUUGACUUUUUGGCCCUGACAGAGGCAUGGAUCACCCCAGAGAACACUGCUGCUCUUUCUUCAUCUGACAAUGUUCUCUCAUAGUCUGAGAGCAUCUGGUUGUUGUGGUGGUGGCACAGAUGAAAUCCUGCGACUAGUGAGGUCUGGCUGCCCGACAACCUGCACAUUCAACCCCAUCCCCUCCCUUCUACAGAGCAUCUCUGGAGACCCUCUCCCAUUCCUCACUUACAACAUCAACUCAUCCAUGACCACUGGCUGUGUCCCCUCUGACUUCAAAAUUGCAUGAGUCGCUCCCCUCAAGAAACCAACACUCAACUCAUCUGAAGUCAACAACUAUAGACUAUCCCUUUUCUUUCCAAAACACCUGAGCGUGCUGUCUCAACUUUCUUGCGAUCUCUCUCUCUCAGAAUAAUCUUGACCCUAACCAGUUAGGCUUUAAGACUGGUCACUCCACUGAGACUGCUCUUCUGUGUCAUGAAGGCUUUCCGCCCUGCCUAACCUUGCUCGCUCUCACUCAGAUCUUUCAAUUCAAGGUGCUUAAUUUGCAUGGGAAACAUGUUUACAUUGCCAAAGCAGGUGACAUGGAUGAAGUCAACAGUUCCAAAAUAAUGUUUAUAUAGUGUUGUAAUGAGAUGCAAAUAGUUAAAUUACAAAAGGGAAAACAAAUAUGGGUUGUGUUUACAAUGGUGUUUGUUCUUCACUGCACCCAAUAGAUAUGGGGGUUUAUCAAAAUUUGAUUAAUUUUUUUUAGAAUUCUUUGUCUGUGUAAUCUGAGGGAAAUAUGUCUAUGGUCAUACAUUUGGCAUGAGGUUAGGAAAUGCAGCUCAGUUUCCAUCUGGUUUUGUGGGCAGUGUGCACACAGCAGACCUGGCUCAAGAGAAGACCGGCUUUCUGCAGCCUUUCUCAAUAGCAAGACUAUGUGGAGUCGGUACAUAGUCAAAGCUUUCCUUCAUUUUGGCUCAUUUACAGUGGUAAGGUACCACUAUGUACUUACUGUUUAUGGCCAAAGACCAUUCUAGUUGGCUCUGUUUUUUUGUAAAUUCCAUUGUAAUUAGAUUUGUUUUCUCAUGAUUUGUUUGGGUCUAAUUGUGUUGCUGUCCUGGGGCUCUGUGGGGUCUGUUUGUGAACAGAGCCCCAGGACAAGCUUUCUCUUCUCCAGGUUAAUUUCUCUGUAGGUCAAGGCUUUGUUAUGGAAGGUUUAGGAAUCACUUCCUUUUAGGUGAUUGUAGAAUUUAACGUCACUUUUGUGGAUUUUGAUCAUUUGCAGGUAUCGGCUUAAUUCUGCUCUGCAUGCAUUAUUUGGUGUUUUACGUUGUACACAGGAUAUUUUUGCAGAAUUCUGCAUGCAGUCUCACUUUGGUGUUUGUCCCAUUUUGUGAAUUCUUGGUUGGUGAGUGGACCCCAGACCUCACAACCAUAAAGGGCAAUGGGUUCUAACUAAAUAAAGAGAAACCCUUGAAUGAAUAGGUUUGUCAACAUUUGACAGGUACUAUAUAUAUAUAUAUAUAUAUAUCUAUAUAUAUCUAUAUAUCUAUCUAUUAGUUGCAUGAAUUUUGUAUAAUUGAAAACAAUAUUUUUUUAUGCCAUUUUGCGUAUCCGUUCAUAAACAAUGUGCUAUGGAAUCGGUACAUCGACUCUCUUCCCAGCUAUUUUGCAAUCUGUAUGGAUCUUAAAUUAAACUGGUAUACUUUCUAUUAAGUAAUUUUCUUUAACUAAUUUUGGUCUUUAAUGCAGGGCUGACUUCUUUCUCCCUGUUCCACUUGCCUCAUUCCAUUGUUGCAGUAAUGCUGCUUUUAGUUGGUAAUUUUGGAUAGAGCAGACAUUUCCUUUUUUUGCUGCUUGUUAGACUAACUCCACCAGUCCUAUUAAUGAUAUAAUUUACACAGAUUAUACUUUUUUUUAAAAAUUUUAUCCAGAAAUGGUUUUUAAAUGUUUAUACAUUUGAGUUUAACCAUAAUAUUUGUUCUGUCUUUUCUGGUGGUAUAAACCAAAAUAUCAACCGACUUUCUACGGCUUGUUUUAAAAAUAGCAAUAUGGUGGAUAUUUAAUUUUCAAAUAACCUAAAGUGAGAGGUUGUAAUCUGAGGCCGUUUUUCAACACUGGGUGUGCAAUUCUUACUAAUCUGCUAGAGAAGCAGUUCGGAUUUAAGUGUAGUUUAUGCAUGACUGAAACCGUUAAGGUCUAAUGCUUUAAUAUCUAAUUUCGGCCAUCCGAAUUCAUAUUCAUUAUAUAAAUAGGCCUGUUUAAAUUGUCUGGCUUGCUGUCCCAAAUUAAGUGGAUUUAUACAUUUUUUUUUUAAAUUCUCAUAUAAUUUAAAAAACAAGUUGUGUCAGCAGGGCCUUACGCAAAUUGGUCAUCUGGGACAUGACUAAAGAGUUAAUCCAGGUGAUUUUUUUUUCCCCUGCUCCCCCCUACAAAUAGACAGCUAAUUUCCUUUCCAUGGUAACGAUUGUAUCUAUUUUUGUUAACUGUUUAAUUUAUUGUAGUGACAAUGUAUUUUGGGAUAUGAAUACUGAGUGUGUCCACUUCACCAUCAGACCGUUUUAUUGGUAAACUACAUGGUAAUGUAAAAGUAUUUGUGACCCAGUACGUAAUAUAGUACACAUCACAAUUUGGUUUUAAUCCAGAGGUUAGAAAAAUUGUUGUUCUGAGGCUGUGGAGGGAUCCAAAUUGUGGAUUUAAAAUAACAUGACUCAGUAUACAAUAACACCUUCUUUGUUUUAAAGCCCUGGA